CUCAGGAUGAACGCUAGCGGCAGGCCUAACACAUGCAAGUCGAGGGGUAACGGGAGGUGCUUGCACUUUGCCGACGACCGGCGCACGGGUGCGGAACGCGUAUGGAACCUGCCCCUGUCAGGGGAAUAGCCCAGAGAAAUUUGGAUUAAUGCCCCAUGGUAACGUUAUAUCGCAUGAUAUGAUGUUUAAAGAUUUAUCGGACAGGGAUGGCCAUGCGUACCAUUAGCUAGUUGGUGAGGUAACGGCUUACCAAGGCAACGAUGGUUAGGGGCCCUGAGAGGGGGAUCCCCCACACUGGUACUGAGACACGGACCAGACUCCUACGGGAGGCAGCAGUGAGGAAUAUUGGACAAUGGGCG
rnacentral:rRNA from 1 species